AUGGUGAUGCUACUGAUGCUACUGCUGCUAGCGCCUUUUCAGAUGAAAACAAAGUAGAUGGUGAUGGUCAGAACCAGGAUCCGGCUAAAGACGACGAUUACGAUGCCACCGUGUCCACUAAGAAGUACUUCGCCCCCAAAGGGUCCUACUUCCCCGACCAUUAUUUAGAUGAUGCAAGAAAAUAAAAAGUAUUUUGUUUUAUUUUA